UGUAAGGAGAAAAACCAAGAGAGAACCUUCAAUUUGUCCUUUCAUUUCUUGCUAAAAUUUGGAGUUUCAACCGAUAGAAUUGCAAACCCUUCCAUAAAAGUCUUAUCUAAGGAAGAACAAAGGUCUUGGUGAAGUGAUUCUUGUAGAAGAAACCCUAAACUAUCAUCUUUCCUCAAGUUUCAAGGAAGUGCCGGCGAUUAAAGUCAUACUUGGAAAGGAAACUUUUGAAGUUAUCCUUGCUUGAAUUGGGAACAACACUUUUGAAUCACGAUUUUGAAGAAAGAGUAGAGCGAGCUCUAGCUAUUCUUUUGUAAAGCUCCUCUGUAGUCGAAACCCUAAAUGUAUUUUGAUCCCUCGUGAAUAUUCCAACUUGUAUUGCUAGUUUAACUUUUAAACCUUUCAAUGUUUGUAUAUCUUAAAGAGUUUAAUCAUGUAAAUUAAGUGUACUUGUUGAGAUGAUGCUUUUACUUGGCUUUGAUGAACACUUCUGAUAUCCGUGUAGGAAUUCGGACAAGUGUGAAG